GACGAACGUUGGCGGCGUGCCUAAUACAUGCAAGUCAACUGAAAUACCGGUAGCAAUACUGGUAUGGAGGUGGCGCACGGGUGAGUAACACGUAGGUAAUCUGCCUUCAGGUCUGACAUAACCCAUCGAAAGGUGAGCUAAUAUCAGAUGAUGCAGCGGCUUGACAUCAAGACAGUUGUUAAAGCUUCGGCGCCUGAAGAUGAGCCUGCGUCUGAUUAGCUAGUUGGCGGGUACGGCCCACCAAGGCUGCGAUCAGUAGCUGGUCUGAGAGGAUGAUCAGUCACACUGGAAC
rnacentral:rRNA from 1 species